rnacentral:tRNA from 1 species
GGAGGGAUACCCAAGUGGCUAAAGGGGGCAGACUGUAAAUCUGUUGGCUGACGCCUUCGCUGGUUCGAAUCCAUCUCCCUCCACCA